rnacentral:rRNA from 1 species
AUGAAUAAGGACCGGCUAAUUCCGUGCCAGCAGCCGCGGUAAUACGGAAGGUCCGGGCGUUAUCCGGAUUUAUUGGGUUUAAAGGGAGCGUAGGCCGGAGAUUAAGCGUGUUGUGAAAUGUAGAUGCUCAACAUCUGCACUGCAGCGCGAACUGGUUUCCUUGAGUACGCACAAAGUGGGCGGAAUUCGUGGUGUAGCGGUGAAAUGCUUAGAUAUCACGAAGAACUCCGAUUGCGAAGGCAGCUCACUGGAGCGCAACUGACGCUGAAGCUCGAAAGUGCGGGUAUCGAACAGGAUUAGAUACCCUGGUAGUCCGCACGGUAAACGAUGGAUGCCCGCUGUUGGUCUGAAUAGGUCAGCGGCCAAGCGAAAGCAUUAAGCAUCCCACCUGGGGAGUACGCCGGCAACGGUGCAACUCAAAUGAAUUGACGGA